CGGACACACUAAACUUUUAUUUUAUUUGCUUUAUAAAUGAAAAUUAGCCUUUAGGUGAAGAGACCUAAAUAAGGUAGAAAGACAAGAAGACCCUAUUGAGCUUUAUUUUAAAAUAAAAAGAGAAAUUUUGUUGGGGCGACCAGGGAAUAAAAAAACCUUCCCUAAUUUAGACGGACACUCCAAUUAACUAAUCCUAAAGGAACGCAGAACAAGCUACCAUAGGGAUAACAGGCUAAUUUUUUCAGCGAGCUCAUAUCAAUGAAAAAGAUUGGCACCUCGAUGUUGGCUUGAAGAAUCUAUUAGGUGCAGCAGCCUA
rnacentral:rRNA from 1 species